UACGUAGGGGGCAAGCGUUAUCCGGAUUUAUUGGGCGUAAAGCGCGUGUAGGCGGCUUGCUAAGUCAGAUGUGAAAACCGGGGGCUCAACCCGCGGCCUGCAUCUGAAACUGGCAGGCUUGAGUCUGGUAGAGGAAAGUGGAAUUCCUAGUGUAGCGGUGAAAUGCGCAGAUAUUAGGAGGAACACCAGUGGCGAAGGCGGCUUUCUGGGCCACGACUGACGCUGAGACGCGAAAGCUAGGGGAGCGAACAGG
rnacentral:rRNA from 1 species